rnacentral:rRNA from 1 species
GACGAACGCUGGCGGCGUGCUUAACACAUGCAAGUCGAACGGAAAGGCCCUGCUUGCAGGGUACUCGAGUGGCGAACGGGCGAGUAACACGCGGGUGAUCUGCCCUGCACUUCGGGAUAAGUCUGGGAAACUGGGUCUAAUACCGGACAGGUGCCAUUUUUAGUGUGAUGGUUGGAAAGUUUUUUCGGUGUAGGAUGAGCUCGCGGCCUAUCAGCUUGUUGGUGGGGUAAUGGCCUACCAAGGCGGCGACGGGUAGCCGGCCUGAGGGGGUGGACGGCCACAUUGGGACUGAGAUACGGCCCAGACUCCUACGGGAGGCAGCAGUGGGGAAUAUUGCACAAUGGGCGCAAGCCUGAUGCAGCGACGCCGCGUGGGGGAUGACGGCCUUCGGGUUGUAAACUCCUUUCGCUAGGGACGAAGCUUUUUGUGACGGUACCUAGAUAAGAAGCACCGGCUAACUACGUG